rnacentral:rRNA from 1 species
GAGUUUGAUCCUGGCUCAGAUUGAACGCUGGCGGCAUGCCUUACACAUGCAAGUCGAACGGCAGCAUGAUCUAGCUUGCUAGAUUGAUGGCGGAGUGGCGAACGGGUGAGUAAUACAUCGGAACGUGCCCUGUAGUGGGGAUAACUAGUCGAAAGAUUAGCUAAUACCGCAUACGACCUGAGGGUGAAAGUGGGGGACCGCAAGGCCUCAUGCUAUAGGAGCGGCCGAUGUCUGAUUAGCUAGUUGGUGGGGUAAAGGCCCACCAAGGCGACGAUCAGUAGCUGGUCUGAGAGGACGAUCAGCCACACUGGGACUGAGACACGGCCCAGACUCCUACGGGAGGCGAGCAGUGGGAAUUUGGACAAUGGGCGAAAGCCUGAUCCAGCAAUGCCGCGUGUGUGAAGAAGGCCUCGGUUGG